GCACAGAGGAGCUUGCUCCUCGGGUGACGAGUGGCGGACGGGUGAGUAAUGUCUGGGAAACUGCCCGAUGGAGGGGGAUAACUACUGGAAACGGUAGCUAAUACCGCAUAACGUCGCAAGACCAAAGUGGGGGACCUUCGGGCCUCACACCAUCGGAUGUGCCCAGAUGGGAUUAGCUUGUAGGCGGGGUAACGGCCCACCUAGGCGACGAUCCCUAGCUGGUCUGAGAGGAUGACCAGCCACACUGGAACUGAGACACGGUCCAGACUCCUACGGGAGGCAGCAGUGGGGAAUAUUGCACAAUGGGCGCAAGCCUGAUGCAGCCAUGCCGCGUGUAUGAAGAAGGCCUUCGGGUUGUAAAGUACUUUCAGCGGGGAGGAAGGUGYUGAGGUUAAUAACCUCAGCAAUUGACGUUACCCGCAGAAGAAGCACCGGCUAACUCCGUGCCAGCAGCCGCGGUAAUACGGAGGGUGCAAGCGUUAAUCGGAAUUACUGGGCGUAAAGCGCACGCAGGCGGUCUGUUAAGUCAGAUGUGAAAUCCCCGGGCUUAACCUGGGAACUGCAUUUGAAACUGGCAGGCUUGAGUCUCGUAGAGGGGGGUAGAAUUCCAGGUGUAGCGGUGAAAUGCGUAGAGAUCUGGAGGAAUACCGGUGGCGAAGGCGGCCC
rnacentral:rRNA from 1 species